rnacentral:lncRNA from 1 species
UUUACUUACUAGGUAUUUAGGAAAUAUUGAAGUACCAAUAUGAAUUUAUUAUUUUCAAACUGCUUUUUAUGUUCUUAAAAAUGUUUUAGUCCUUGUAGCUAGAAAUACUUGGUCCUUCCUAACAGCGUAGACAUAAAUGCACUGGAAACUAUUUUCAUAUUUUGCUCUUUUGUUACCUACCCCCUUCCCUUGUGCAGGUAUAAAAUGCAAUGCAAGGGUCAGAAUGACAAUGAAUGGCCGUUUCCGGAUUCCCGAAAAUUAUUUUACUUAUGGUAUAAACUCGAAUCAAAAUGGUAUAUUCAUUUCAACUGAAAACGAAACGAGAAUUUCUCAUUUUUCUUCACAAUAGAAUUAAGUUUUAAACUUUUUACCAUACAAUUAAAACGGUUUAAAAAAAAUGAAUUAGAUAGUUCAGUAGUACCUACUAAAAUACAUAAAUUUUAUUAAUUAUUCUUAACGCGAAGUUGAUAAUCUAUAGGCUCACAUUAUUCUUCUUCCUAUAGGUACGUACAUACAGUAUAUUAUUUUUAGAUAUUUUAAAAGUAUAUACAAGUAGGUAUGUGUUAAGUAUAUACUUUUGCAUAUACUUACGCAUAUACUAAGAAUAUUCGAUUAAGGUAUAUUCUAAGAAUAAACUUUUACGAACAUUCCGAGAUACUACGUACCCGAAUGUGCUCAGUAUAUUCGGUGCAAGAAUAUUCUUUGAGGCACAUGCAAAGAACAUGAAAUUUAGAAUGUUUUUUAUGGUACAUGCUAUGCUUGUACUAUGCAUAUACUAAAAAGGAUAUACUUCGACGAAUGUUGGUAGGAUAUGCUUAGAACAUGAUGCGAACAUCAUUGUUAUGUGGGAAGAAUCUACAGGUCGAGCAAGUCUCGUAAAUUUCACGAUUGCGAGCCACGCUUCACGCAACCGUGUUUGCGUACUUGUGUUUCGAGUUGCGUGGUCGUGCGGAGUUAUAUUUACCAAAUUUAAAUAUAAUCCUUUCUACUUGGUUUCUACUGAUUCAUAAUAAUAUAUGUCAAUAUGGCUACUGGGUGUAAAAGAUAAAUCUUAUUCUAUCUGUUCUUAAUGAGUUUUAGAUAAUUUUAGUUGUAUUUCUUUGUAAUUUUGUGUUGUACAAAGAUUAAUUUAACAUUUUCUCUGGAAGUAUUAAUUUAGAAAGAUAAUAUGCUUCAUUGGUAUUGUGUUUUGAAGUGUGAAAUGCAAAGUAAUUGUGAUAAAGUCAAGAUAAAGUUCACUUUUAAACUGAACUAAAUAAGGUAUCUGAGAGACAACAAUGGUUAAAUGCAAUACAAUGUACAGGUUUUACUAGCGAAAUGAAAAUUUUCCUGUCCUGUCUGCUGUAAUCAUUUUAUAUAUGGAAAACCAGCCGACUUAAUCGAUAAUAACAAUCUCCAGAUUGGGUUCCUUCAAUAAAUAUGGGCUAUAAACACAAUGAAAUAAGUUCCCCAAAAUCUAAAAUGGAGUGGUAUCAAAGGAGAAUUAAAGGGAAAAAUAUUCAUAUUGAAAUUAUUUAUAAGGCACUGGACUGUCUUAAAUUCUACAAUAAUACUAGAAUCAGCUGAGAGAAGUGGUCUACAAAAAACCAGGAAGGAAACGGAAUAUGUGGCUACGAAAGGCAAAAGAAAGGUUUACAAAGCAAAUGUGACACAUUUUUUUGAAAUAUUUAGGAAUAUCAGUAAAUUGCAUUAAAAAAAUGUAUGAAAAGAUUUUGUUCAAUAAAAAUGUUUAUAUUUAUCAAGGAUGUAUUAUUUGGUAUGGCCACAUAUCGUCAGUGAUGUAAUAAUACAUCCUAUCUGUUUUUUCAUGAGUUUUGUAAGAGAGACUAAAAACUUGUCUUAGGGUCACCUCCCGUUUUCAUAUGAUAUUUUUUGACUUGUUUUGUAGUAAAUUAAACUAUCUAUGAACUACAAAACAAGUCAAAACUUACAUAUGAACACAGGAGGUGACCUUAAAACAUGUUUUUCCAUCUCUCAUACAAAACUCAUGAAAAAACAGAUAGGAGGUAUUGUCACAUCAGCAAGGAUGUACAGUGAUGAGUGCCCUAAUAACCGGCAAAAUAUGGGCAACAUAUUUAGUUGUGAGAUAAAAAGAAAUGAAACUAGUCGAGCUGGGAAAUUUAGCGAAAUUAACCUUUAAAUUUACGUUAUAUUGAUCCCACCUUUACACAUAUCGGAGGAGUAUGUCAACUAAAACUGUCACUGUGACAGUG